rnacentral:rRNA from 1 species
UCGGCAACGGAUAUCUCGGCUCUCGCAUCGAUGAAGAACGUAGCGAAAUGCGAUACUUGGUGUGAAUUGCAGAAUCCCGUGAACCAUCGAGUCUUUGAACGCAAGUUGCGCCCUAAGCCUUUUGGCCGAGGGCACGUCUGCCUGGGUGUCACAAAUCGUCGUCCAU